GACAGAACAGUAAAAGAACCAGAGGCAUGUAGAAUGCAAAGUGACUCAGGUAUUCCAGGUAACCCAUGACAUAUUGUAGAGUAAUUACAUUAAGAUUUCUGGCUGGCUAAUAAAAAUUGCAGGAGAAACUGCGCAAGUUUUGGAUAAGAAACGAGAAACGUCUGGGCUGGCUGAGCGUUAACCUUAGUGCAGUAGGACUUACAGACAACAUCCUCAGACAGACCCAGAUGAAUCUCUAUAACACUGGGCCUACACAAAGGCCAGAAAACCUAUCGACUUGGGCUAGCAAGGAUGGUGUGACACUUCCCUCCCCAGAAUGAAGGAAAAAACGGCUGGCUCAUUUUGGGAUGGUGAAGAGAAGGUGCCCUCUCCUACGCAAGAACUAACACACUUGGGGCUGGAGUCAGCCGAAUCUCCCAACGCUGGAAGUUUCUCAGGGUGCCUCCUUGUUGCUGCUUCAGAACAAAGAACCAAACCUUCCUCUCCAACAACAGCUCAGGUACAAGUGUUUCCUACGCAUAAAGUACUGGGCAGUCAGCUGAAAGACAAGGGAUUUACACAGAUCAACCUUGGCCUCAGGAGAUCAGCCUCCCAGGUCUGUGAUACACACACUCCUCCUUGGGGCAGCUCAGAGCUGAAUACCAAAAUUUAAGGCCUCUCGAUUUCUUUCGGAGUAGUUUUUCUCUCUUCAUUGACUACAGGGGAAGCCUAAAGAAGACACUGGUCUCUCCCAGUUAUACCCUGCCUUGGUGAAUAACUUCAGAGACAGUCUCUCUCACUGCUCCUCAUGUAUGUUAACAGAAUGGCCUUAAAGAGUUUCUGGUCAAAUAAACUUAAUUUUCUAUGAGAGAAAAAAAAUUAC
rnacentral:lncRNA from 1 species